rnacentral:rRNA from 1 species
AUGAACGCUGGCGGCGUGCCUAAUACAUGCAAGUCGAGCGAACGGACGAGAAGCUUGCUUCUCUGAUGUUAGCGGCGGACGGGUGAGUAACACGUGGAUAACCUACCUAUAAGACUGGGAUAACUUCGGGAAACCGGAGCUAAUACCGGAUAAUAUUUUGAACCGCAUGGUUCAAAAGUGAAAGACGGUCUUGCUGUCACUUAUAGAUGGAUCCGCGCUGCAUUAGCUAGUUGGUAAGGUAACGGCUUACCAAGGCAACGAUGCAUAGCCGACCUGAGAGGGUGAUCGGCCACACUGGAACUGAGACACGGUCCAGACUCCUACGGGAGGCAGCAGUAGGGAAUCUUCCGCAAUGGGCGAAAGCCUGACGGAGCAACGCCGCGUGAGUGAUGAAGGUCUUCGGAUCGUAAAACUCUGUUAUUAGGGAAGAUCAUAUGUGUAAGUAACUGUGCACAUCUUGACGGUACCUAAUCAGAAAGCCACGGCUAACUACGUG